rnacentral:tRNA from 1 species
GGGGAGAUAGCUCAGUGGUUAGGGGCACUGGCCGCUCUUCCAGAGGACCUGGGUUCAAUUCCCAGCACCA